UUUUACUUCUCCAUCUGUAAAACGGAGUUUGUGAUUCCUGCUUAAACUAUCUUACAGCAGAAAGGGAAGAGGAAUCAUCCAUCCGCCACCUGCCGAGAGGCCGCAGGGGAUCAGAGCCGGGACUCUGGGCUCAGAGAGAUCCGGGUGCAACGCCGGCUCUGCGGUUUGCUUACGUCACAUCCGGCAAGUCUCUUAACCUCUUUCAGUUUUGGUUUUGUCAAAUGGGGAUAUUAAGAGUAUCUGCUUCGUGCCGUUGUUGUCAGGAAGAAGAUGAAAGGAAGCGCAGGAGCCCUUCGAAUGGUGCUGGGCCAGGGCACGCACUGCUGUACCAGCCGGUGCCCUCACUCUGAACCUGGCCACCUGGGGAAACAGGAUGGGAAUAUAUCAAAGCAAGAGUUUCUUUGUCUUCUCUGAAUCCAGCUCCUCCUGGACCCUCCACUGCUGAGUGCUGGAGCUCAUGUGAUUGAACCAUGUGACUCAGCUCUGCAGUCAGAAGCAUCCUAUCCCAAGGCUUGGCCAGCCUUUCCUCCUCGGUAUAGCACUGUCCCCCUCCCAGGACACCCAGGUCCUGUCCCAGCACCCAGGGCCACCUGAGAAUGCUCCUCCCUGUCCGCCUGCCAGGCUGUGCACCCCCCGCCUCCCCUCCUCCAGGAAGCUUCCCUGACUUCCUGACUUCUCUGGCCAACCCUGCUUGCAGACGAGGUCCAUCCCCAGAGAUUCUCCUCAGUUGGCUUCUCCACGUGGACCUAAGCACGGCAGCUCUGCGAGGGCAGGAGCUGUUCUUUUUCUUCCUUUUUGUCUCAUCCUCAGCACAAGGCAAGGAGGAAUGCAGGAAUUGGUGACGUCUGAGGGAUUCAGCUGGAUGGGGACAGAUCUGGGACAUUCUGAUCACAAAAAGACUUCCACAGAUUACCAACGAUGACAUCUGGCUUUGCUCGACACUGCAGGACUUCUCACGAUUUAUUAGCCACUCUCUCCACAUUUAUCAGCCAAGAGGCCAGGGCCGAGUCUUGGCACAGAAUAAACGAGUUCUGUUUUCACUUCCCUUAGAGGACCUAUGACUCCCACCAGGUGGCAUAAGCUGGGAACAAAGGUACUGAAAGUCUCACUCACCAGAGUCACACUUAUGUCUCUGUGGCUGCCACAGCGCGCAGCCCAGAGCUGAGCCCCAACUAGGUGGAGAGUAGCCUGCUACUGACACGCACCCUGGUUCUUGUCCCAGUUUUGCAACUGACUUGCCACGUGACCUUGGACAAGUCACUCCACCUUUCUGGGCCUGGUUUUCUUCACCUGAGAACAAGGGGGUUGUAACAACCUUAGAGGAUUGUCAAGGUGCCUUACAGGUCUGAAUGUUUGCUUCUCUGACUCAAAGGCAAGGAUGACUAUUGCUUCUCGAAUAAAAAUGUUCCUCCCCUGACAGCCAGCCCGGGGAGAUCAAGAAUUCUGUCAGAGCAUACUCUUAGUAAGCCUCGAGCUCUACAGUCUCCCCCAAGUCUGGACACUUUAUCUUUAUUCAUUGUUCAUCCCCAUUCUCCCUCUCCUUGGCCCUCCCUCCCGUCCUCCUUCACCACCCCGCCCCCAGGCCAGGAUGCGGCAACCUGCCAUGAAUGAAGAGUGGCUGGUCACAUGACCCGGUCACCAUGGAGAUGGAGCCCCGCAGACGAGGUAGGCAUCAAAGUCACAUGAGAACCCCGGAAAACUGGCUGAGGUAUUUAUAGAAGCAGGCUGGUGCUUUUAUGGAAAUGGGUCUAUAUUUGACUCAGGAUGGAGAGCCCCAUGCUGGCCCUGGGGCAAGGCAGGUUUUGCGUCUGAUUCUCCCUUCCCAGGACUGUGAGGCAAACAGCCUCCUCCCUUCCUGUUGUCUCCUGCACAUUCCCCUCCCCACCCCGCCCAGCUGAUGCCAGCUCACCCUAGAGCAGAGCCCCCCUCUUCCUUCUGUUUACAUUGAACAAGACUUCCUCCCGGGCUGGGAGUCUGGGGCCCCAGGAAGCUGGGCCUGUGGGCAAUUUGGGACACCCUCUUUCACCACCCCCCAAGUACAAACAAGAGGAAUGUCCUUGCUGCUCUCAAUAAAUAUUAGAAGAUACUGUCAUUGCUCAAAGCUUUGCCACGUCUUCCUUCCUUCAGAGUUUGUAGGUAGCUGCUAAAGGGAGGAGGUAUACCUCCGAGCACAAGGCCUGGAAGACCAGCCCCCCAGCCCUCAUGGGUGUUAUAGCCAUCGUCCAGAAAGGCAAGUAAAUGCUAACAGUAACUGCUGUUUAUUGAGAGCUCACUUUACAUAUAUCCUGUCCUUUAAUCCUCGCAUGCCCUAUAAUGUAGAUAACUACUGGUAUCCCCAUUUUACAGAUGAGGACGAGGAAGCUCCAAGUCACAAUGACAACCCCAGUCUGUCUGAUUCCACAGUCCAUGCUCUUCCCAGCAUGCUGUGCUGCAGCGAGCAGCAGAGUGUGCCUGAAGAGAGGGGAUAGGAUGGGGCAGGGGUCCAGGAGAGAGGGGCAGUCUAGAGGAGCAAGGAGAAAUGCAUUUUGCUAUCUUAAUGAAUACAUUCAUAUGGUCAAAAAGAAGUUAAAACAAAACUAAAGUAAGUCCAGUACGAAGUUCCCCUCCCAAGGUCCUCUGGCCCCGAGUUUCCCUCUGCAGAGGAUGUCUCUGUGGCCCGUUUCAGAUGUUCCCUUUCUAGAGAUCUCAUAUGCAUAUGGAAGCAGAUACAGCUAUACUGACUAUGUGGUACAGACACAAGGUGUAACAUUCACAAGGUAUAUGAGGAGAAGUGGAUCUUUCUCCCGCGCCUCCCCUCUGUCAUGCAGGUCCUCACCGAGAGGCGAGCACUGUGAUCAGUUUCUCAUGUAUCAUUCCAGACAUAUGUUAAGCCUCUGCAAGUGCCUGCAGCACACACAAAUGGUCACGCCCCUCCAUGCUAUUCUGCAUCUUUUUUUUAUUUAACAGUACAUUUUGGAGACGUUUCCAAAGCAGAACAUAUAGAGCAGACUCGUUUAUUUUAAUGGCCAUAAAGAAUUUCAUUGUGUGGAGGUACCAUAGAUUAUUUAAAUAGUUCAUUCUUGAUAGACAUCUAACUUAUUUCCAUUUUUUUAAAUUACGAACACUGCUGCUAGGAGUAUUUCUAAUGCCUUCCAACAAACACGUGCAAAAUGAGUAUGUGCCUUCAUAAUUUUGAUAGAUAUGUGCUAAUGAGCAAUGGGAUGUGCCCCUGUAAUUUUGAUAAAUGUGGUUUAAUUAUUUUCCACAGAGAUUGUACAAUUUAACCUUCUUCUAUUGGCAACAUGUGUGUUACCGACUUAAGUUUUUUUUUUUUAAUAUUUUGAUCCUACAUAGGUUUAUUUUUAUUAUGGAUUAUUCAAGUGAAACAAAAGUAAAGAGUAACAAUGAGCAGCCUGUCAAAUUUAUCAAAUUUAUCGAAUUCAUCCAUGUCACUAUUCUCACUGUAGGUGUUUUAUUGCAAUAAAUCAUAUGGGUGUAUAUGAAGCCUC